rnacentral:rRNA from 1 species
AUUGAACGCUGGCGGAAUGCUUUACACAUGCAAGUCGAACGGCAGCACGGGGGCAACCCUGGUGGCGAGUGGCGAACGGGUGAGUAAUACAUCGGAACGUGCCCGGUCGUGGGGGAUAACGUAGCGAAAGUUACGCUAAUACCGCAUACGAUCUGAGGAUGAGAGCGGGGGACCUUCGGGCCUCGCGCGAUCGGAGCGGCCGAUGUCAGAUUGGGUAGUUGGUGGGGUAAAGGCCUACCAAGCCGACGAUCUGUAGCUGGUCUGAGAGGACGACCAGCCACACUGGGACUGAGACACGGCCCAGACUCCUACGGGAGGCAGCAGUGGGGAAUUUUGGACAAUGGGCGCAAGCCUGAUCCAGCCAUUCCGCGUGCAGGACGAAGGCCUUCGGGUUGUAAACUGCUUUUGUAUGGAACGAAAAGGCUCUGGCUAAUACCUGGGGCUCAUGACGGUACCGUAAGAAUAAGCACCGGCUAACUACGUG